UGCUAUUUUAUUCUUUUCUUCAUCCGCCCCCUUCCCCAACUUUUUCUCGUUUAUUUCUACCCUUCUCGCUUCGGUUCGGUGCGAUUGUUUGACACACACGGAGAACAAAAUGGAAGAAGAAAAGCUUUCUUCACUCAAAUUCUUCAGUCUCUCUGACUCUCUCUCUCUCUCUCUCUCUCUCUCUCUCUCUCUCUGUGAGUUUCUUCUCUUCGCUUCAGAUCAAUGAAGACCAACUGUAACAGAUCUCUACUUCCCUGAUCUUUCGUAUAUCUCAGAUUCUCAUAUAAUCGGUGCAUUGUGGUUGAUUUUCUCAAAAAAGCUCGAUCUCAGGCCUUGAACUCGGUGGACGUAGAUACUCAAAUCAAAGAAGCUUCUGGAUGCGCUGUUGAGUAUUAUUGUAGAUGAGUUCUACACUCAGCCAGAGGAUAUGACUGAACAAAAAUUGUGCUUCUCUGUUUCGUGUUUUGGAUCCUUGCAAUGGCUAUGACUUUCUUCUUCAAUUCAAGAGUUGAAAACUCAUUCCGUGGACCUCCUUCGACUUGAACUAUAGUGUUUUGAUCAUGAUUUUGUUGAAGAAGAGAAGGUAGCUGAGCUAAAAGAGCCAUCUGCUGAGCUGAUCUUUUGGCUGAAGCACCUACAAAAUCAGAGCAUGGAAAUAUAACUUGGUGUUCUCUUAUGCUGAAGGCAUCUUUCACCUGUUAAAGAAAAAAGGAGAGACUGUCUGCAAGGCUAUUGUGAACUGGCCGAAGGAGAACCUUAGACUUUCCAUCAACACUCCUGUCAGAUUUGAGCAUGAUUUUGUUGAAGAAGAGAAGGCAACUGAGCUGAAAGAGCCAUCUGCUGAGCUUUUGGCUGAAGCACCUAUGAAUUCAGAACAUGGAAAUAUAGUGUGAAAGGCAAAGAUGAUUUUGAUGAGCGGACUUAGCAAGAUGCUCUGGAGGAGCUGUCAUCUGAAAAAAGUUCUGAUGAUCGCAUACCCCACGCUUGCAAUAUCUCCAGUUUGCCUUGCUUAAAAAGGACCAGUCUUUCUCUUUCAUGACACUUGGUGGUCAAUGGAAUCCUGCUGAUGGUGUUGACCCAUCAGUUGAUGAUACCUCUUUAAUUCAAACGGUCCAUAGAUAUGCAAAAGAUGUCACUCAACUUGAUUUGCAGAACUGCUGUCAUUGGAAUUGUUUUCUUAAGAUACACUAUGACAGACUUGGCAAGGAUGGACUUUUUAGCCAUAAGGAGGUCACUGUACUAUUUGUUCCAGAUUUUUCUGAAUGUCUCCCUUCUUUGGAUUCAUGGAGAGACCAAUGGGCAAUGGCUUGCUCACAAGAAGGCUGUUGCAGAGAGGGAGCGCCAACUUUCUUUUAAAAAAGAGAGGUCUAGUGAGAAGAAAGAUGGGCUGAAAGAUAAGGAAAAGGAUUCCUCAAAAGAUGUCAAAAGACUAGACAAAUCAGAAAAAAAGAAAAAGAGUCCACAUCCUCUGGACAAGCAGCAGAUUCUAACAAAAAGGAGAAAAAUGGAAAUGGUCUGAAAGGAAUUACUACAGCUGAAGAAAAGGGUGAUUGGAUGAGAAGGAUAAUGGACAGAAGAAUGUAAACUUAGAGAUACCUGAUCAACAGGAUAAGUCAGUUGCUCCCACUAAAACAUUUGUAAGGAAGAAAAGGUGGUAAAAAAGGUUCCAGCAGUAAAAAUUGUUCAGAAUGAAGGUACUGAAGAUAAACCAAAGGAUAAUUUAGAUCCAAGCAGUGCUGCAAGUUGUGGAAGGUACCAGUGUAAAAACAACUGCGGAGAAAAAAAUAAUUAGGAGGAUAGCUAAAAAAAGGUCUCUGGUUUGGAAUCCAGUGAUGGGGUUUCUGGAACUAAGAAAGAUGCUGAUGGGGAUGAAAUAGACAGUGCAUGAAACCAAAAACACAGAGAGGCAAGCAGCAGAUGCUGAAAAUCUGGUCAGUGAGGUCAAAAGAUCUGAAAAGAAAACAGUUCCCAAGACCGACUCCAAAACAGUUGCCACUAAGAAGCAAGGAGAUGGCGAUUCAAGGAAAACAGAGAUAAAGGCUGACAAGGAUGAUAAGGAGGAUGAAAGAAAAACUGGUGAGAAAAGUGGCGUGGUGUCUAAAGUAGAGACUGAUGCCGACAAGAAGAAAGUUCCUCAAAAUGAUGGCAAGAUGGGAAAACUAAAAGAUGGGGAUAAAUCUAAAGAUGAGAAAGUGAAAAAAGACAAUGAUGGAAAAGAUGACUCUAGAAGCAAAUCAAAUAAAGAUUUGAAAGAAAAGAGAGCCUGAAGAACCUCCUCGACAUCUUGGUUUGAUUUUACAAACCAAAUGGAGCAAGGAAUCCAAACUUUGUUCAUUAUCACUUUCACCGGAUUCACUCCUGGAUUAUACUGACAAGGACAUGCAAGAAUCAACAUUUGAGGCUUGCUAUGGACUAUGUCAAUAUGCAUAAUACUUGCUUCCUUUCUUGAGGCAUCCUCAUUUACAUGCUUAUUUUUUGGCCGAGAGCAUGUGCAGAAACUACGUCUAAAAUUUGUGACAAAAAGAAAUCAACAUAAGAGGCAACGGGAAGAAAUUCAAGAAAAGGAAAGGGAUAAAAUAUCUCCAGUGAAGCGAGCAAAGACCAGUGAUCUCCCUGUGAAAGAGCAAGAUAUCAAGUCUGAAACGUUGAACACAGCUCAACCAGAUGAAGACAAAACCAAGGUCAAGGAGGAGGAUAAAACUGUUGAUCAUGUUGAUGAGGUGAAGAUAUGAGGUUGAUUAUAUGAGGUUGAUCAUCCACAACUUGGGGAAGUUCCUCUCACACAGGGAUGUGCAGCUAAUGUAUCUCAUGCAUCCGGAACUUGUGCAAAGUGCAUUGUUAGAUAGCAACACCAGCAGGGAUGACCGCAUUCUUUACAAUAAGCUGGUGCGAAUGUCUGGUAUUUGAGAUUGGAAGGGUCUUCAUGUUUUCUUGAAAAUGAAUUUCAAUAUGACAUUGCCUUAUUAUGGCCCUUGAGAGGGGACAGAUUCUUACAGGGUUUUGGUUGCAAUUGGAUUGUUGUCCUCCGUUUAAUUUCUUUUAAUGCCUGUUAAAAAGUUUUCAAUACACACUGUUGUGCCAGUUGAGCUACAUGGCUCUAGUGCAAAUCAAAAUCGAUAUUUUGAAGAUAAGUGAUUUAUAAUUUUUUAGAUUAUGCUAAUUUCAUCAACUUUUGAUUAAAAAAAAAAUCAACUAUUAAUUAUGUCGAUUUAGUC